rnacentral:rRNA from 1 species
UGGAUCCAGACUUUGAUUAUGGCUCAGGAUGAACGCUAGCUACAGGCUUAACACAUGCAAGUCGAGGGGAAACGAUAGAGAAAGCUUGCUUUUUCUAGGCGUCGACCGGCGCACGGGUGAGUAACGCGUAUCCAACCUGCCCAUCACUUGGGGAUAACCUUGCGAAAGUAAGACUAAUACCCAAUGAUAUCUCUAGAAGACAUCUGAAGGAGAUUAAAGAUUUAUCGGUGAUGGAUGGGGAUGCGUCUGAUUAGCUUGUUGGCGGGGUAACGGCCCACCAAGGCGAUGAUCAGUAGGGGUUCUGAGAGGAAGGUCCCCACAUUGGAACUGAGACACGGUCCAAACUCCUACGGGAGGCAGCAGUGAGGAAUAUUGGUCAAUGGACGAGAGUCUGAACCAGCCAAGUAGCGUGCAGGAUGACGGCCCUAUGGGUUGUAAACUGCUUUUAUAAGGGAAUAAAGUGAGCCUCGUGAGACUUUUUGCAUGUACCUUAUGAAUAAGGACCGGCUAAUUCCGUGGCAGCAGC